AGAACCUGAAACCGUGUGCUUACAAGUAGUCAGAGCCCGUUAAUGGGUGAUGGCGUGCCUUUUGUAGAAUGAACCGGCGAGUUACGAUUUGAUGCAAGGUUAAGCAGUAAAUGUGGAGCCGUAGCGAAAGCGAGUCUGAAUAGGGCGUUUAGUAUUUGGUCGUAGACCCGAAACCAGGUGAUCUACCCUUGGUCAGGUUGAAGUUCAGGUAACACUGAAUGGAGGACCGAACCGACUUACGUUGAAAAGUGAGCGGAUGAACUGAGGGUAGCGGAGAAAUUCCAAUCGAACCUGGAGAUAGCUGGUUCUCUCCGAAAUAGCUUUAGGGCUAGCCUCAAGUGAUGAUUAUUGGAGGUAGAGCACUGUUUGGACGAGGGGCCCCUCUCGGGUUACCGAAUUCAGACAAACUCCGAAUGCCAAUUAAUUUAACUUGGGAGUCAGAACAUGGGUGAUAAGGUCCGUGUUCGAAAGGGAAACAGCCCAGACCACCAGCUAAGGUCCCAAAAUAUAUGUUAAGUGGAAAAGGAUGUGGCGUUGCCCAGACAACUAGGAUGUUGGCUUAGAAGCAGCCAUCAUUUAAAGAGUGCGUAAUAGCUCACUAGUCGAGUGACACUGCGCCGAAAAUGUACCGGGGCUAAACAUAUUACCGAAGCUGUGGAUUGUCCUUUGGACAAUGGUAGGAGAGCGUUCUAAGGGCGUUGAAGCAUGAUCGUAAGGACAUGUGGAGCGCUUAGAAGUGAGAAUGCCGGUGUGAGUAGCGAAAGACGGGUGAGAAUCCCGUCCACCGAUUGACUAAGGUUUCCAGAGGAAGGCUCGUCCGCUCUGGGUUAGUCGGGUCCUAAGCUGAGGCCGACAGGCGUAGGCGAUGGAUAACAGGUUGAUAUUCCUGUACCACCUAUAAUCGUUUUAAUCGAUGGGGGGACGCAGUAGGAUAGGCGAAGCGUGCGAUUGGAUUGCACGUCUAAGCAGUAAGGCUGAGUAUUAGGCAAAUCCGGUACUCGUUAAGGCUGAGCUGUGAUGGGGAGAAGACAUUG
rnacentral:rRNA from 1 species